CCUCAAAGACCCUCAUGCCAUGGGUGGUAAAACUGAGUUGAGCUGCCAAGCUAGAAGACCUGGAAGUGCUCCCAACCCAGUGGCUUCUUUCUUUCUUGGGACUCUAUCAUUUCUUUCUUGGGGGCGGGGUAGCUUUAGAGAAGUCAGCUCAUGGGGGUGGACACAGGAGACAAGCACCACUAGCAAUGGGCAAAACUGUGAGGGAGUGAUGUUUGGUAAAGAAGCCUACCCACAAGUUUGGAAUUUGUCCCUUGGGGACAAUCCCCCAGGAAAGAUGGGGCGAUGUGAGCACCGCAGGGCUUGGGAUUCAUCUGCAGCCAUCGAUAGCCAGCUUAUAACCACAGGCCACUGAUUGAUGUCUGAUGGGCUCUGCAAAGCUUGGCUCCCAGUGGCUAUGCAAGAACACUCUGUAGCCCCGUUGCCACACUGUAUGGAGCCAGCACUCUGUAUGUCUGGAGGAUGCUGAUUGGCCUCUCCAGGGUGGCUUUUAGUAAAUGGUGCCUUGAUAGGUCCUGCAGGUCUGUGCUGAGGACGAACUCCAGAAGCAGCAUUUUU
rnacentral:lncRNA from 1 species